AUAUAAUCUUAUUUGGAAAUUCAAUUUUGUUUCCUUUUUUAAAAGAUAUCAAAUAUCUAAUACUCAAACACUAUUGGUUGGUGAAUCUAGAGGUUCACCCUUGAACCCAAGAAUUUCUCUAAAAAAGAUCCCAUCUAGGAACGAGAACAGAAAAAUAUCACUUGGUCCAUUUUAUAUUAUGUUAUAUAAUACAAUACUAAUUUGGAAGGUUUGUGGUAAUUUUUUUUUUGUUGAAAUAACGUUUCUAUAAAAACAUGAAUAUGUAAUGUAUAAUUUUAUCCAAUAUAUAAUAUAUACUUUCAAAUGAUCAUCUCAUUCCGCGCAAGGCACGGAUUAUUACCUAGUAUAUAUAUUAUAAUAAGAUAAAUUCAUAUCUUCUCUAUAUAUGAAGAAGCGUUUUUUCUUCCUGGUGAGGACACGUCGUCGUCCACGUGGCUUCUGUCGAGGCGACACGUGUCCCACCCCAAAACUCAGCACUUAGAUAGGACAGUUUCUCUGGCCCGUAAUCCUUUAUGUGUAGAUCUAAUCUAUUUUCGCGAUGUUGUGUGUGUUCUUCUUCUUCAUUGUUCGAUGGCUACGGUGACUCUUGCCCUUCCUCACGAAUCUGAAACUGAGAGCGUUAUGGUUUUUACGUGUUUAUCCCCAUUAAUUCAGACGCCCACUACGAAUUCUUCAAUGAGUCUUUUAGAUCUGAAAGGCGGUUUGAUUCGGUAUAAAUAGAUGUGAGUAUUCUCCCCGAUGGAUUUGACAUAUGGUAGAUGUGCUCAGAACUCCAAGCUCCGACUCCUCUUUACUGAUUAGGUUCAAUGAUUCAACCGAUUUUGACGAGUUAACCAAACCGGUCUCUCCGUUACACAGCUUCCAGGAAGGUGCUCAGAUAUUUUAGGAAAGAUGGGCAUAACUGGAGGAAUAAGAAAGAUGGUAAAACAGUGAAAGAGGCUCACGAAAAGCUCAAGGUUGGAAGCAUUGAUGUGUUACAUUGUUACUAUGCACAUGAGGAAGACAAUGAGAAUUUCCAGAGGCGUUGCUACUGGAUGCUUGAACAGUGAGUCCUAUGUUUUCCAUAUUUCACAUUUUUACCGGUUUAGUGUACCGUAAAUGUUACUUUGAGAACAGAAAGAAAAUGAAAUGUGAUUUGUUACUUUUAGUGCAUAUGUCCUAUGUUUUUUGUGGGUACAGGGAACUGAUGCAUGUUGUUUUUAUUCAAUACUUGGAGGUUAAGGUAUAGCUUUUCUCUCGGUACUGUACUAAUAUAAACACCCAUUCACUCAACAUUAUACUGUUCCUUUUUAAAGUGGGUUCUCUUUUUUUUAAUGGUGGUUUUGAUAAGUUCAUGCUAUUUAUACAUGGUAAUAGGAUAAGUUCCAGUGGAAUAAAAGAAAACAAUUCAAAUUCUCUGAGUGGCUCCACUUCUGUGAAAAUUGAUUCAACGCAAACACAUCCAGCACAUUGUAAACCACUAUGUGAAGAUGCUGAUUCUGGUCUAUAUAGUUAUCCUUAGCUUUAUGUAUGUUUAGGGACAUAGUUCUAUUUACAGGCUACCUUGUUUUAGUAAAAGAAGGUUUCCUUCUUUCCUGUUGCGUCACUUCGGAUUCCACGUAGAUAAAUCGAGUUCUGUGAGCGCGAAACGUGUCCAGCUAAUUAAACUCACCGUUUCAUUUAAUUUUGUGUGCAAUUGGUACGGACGGGCUUUGCUAUGUGCGUUCUCUCUAAACUUAACAUUUAUUGGGCUAUUUGUUUAAUUCAAGAUUUCGUGAGACCAUUACCGAUAGUCCCCUUCCACUUCAUCUAAUACACGCAAAAUUAGGGUUCAUCAUCCAUCGAUCUCCGACACCUAAAAUUUUUCUUCAGCAUUCUCUAACACCAUCAAUGGCGUCUUCACUUGCAUCGUUAGGCCUUCUCUUCUAAACAACCGAAACGGUCAGAGUUAAAUAUUCAUCACUUUUAACUCCAUAGACCGACGUGAAUACGAUCUGACAUUGAUUGUGAGUUAUCUUAUGCAAGGCGGUUUAUUAUACACCUAUAAAAAAGGUUAGCUUUCUUCACUUGAGUAUCAUCCUCUCAAUCCGUGAAAACACCAAAUUUAAUAAAUUCUCGGUGUGGCCGCUGCUCCUUUGCUCAGGUUCUGGGAACCCAAGAAUGUCAAACGUGGUGGGGAACUCAUGUCUCUUGAUAUGCUCUUACUGGAUUCAAAGAAAAACUAGAUUUUGACCCAAAGCGCGGGUUUGUUUUCUUUGACAUAUUAUUAUAAUUUAAAAAUGUGUUUAUACAUAAAAUGUAAAUCAAGUGUCUUAAUGAUUUUUGUUAGCAUUUGUUUUUAUGUUUUAAGUUAAUUUUUCAUCUAUACAAAAUGUUAGUAUUGUGAAAUAAUUAAUUUUUUUUCGAAAAAUACAGUAAGAAAUUAUCUUUUAAUUUCUUUCUGGUAAAAUUAAUUUGUACAUUGACUUACAAAAUUAUUAAAAUAUUUAAAUGAAUUGUAAUAUUAUUUAAAUUAAGAUCGGGUGUAUUGAUAUCAUCUAUUACAUUCAUAUCUAAUUUAUGUUUAUGUUUAUUAAUUGUAAAUGUGAAAUUAUUAAUUAUAAAUGUGAAAUUUUUAUAUGACUUCAAAAACAAUGUUUAAUAUUUAAUGUAAAGCCCAUAGUUGACAAAAAAAAUGCAAAGCCCAUAUAAUAUAAACUUGUUUGAUAGAAAUUUAUCUAAUAAACCAUUGCAAACACAUAAUGGUUUAUCAUGGCCCAUCUCGUUUGUAGCCCAACACUAAUCACAUAUAUCCAUCUUUUUUUUUACCGUUCAUAUUUCUAAAAGAAACAGAAAAAGUAAGAAGAAAAAGACAUAUAGAACGGUCUCUUUACCGACGGAAGAUACAAUGAAAAAAAAAUCAUUUUUCGAUGGUGAGAAUCAAAGCUGUACAACUCCGAUGGUGAGAAAAAUAGUUUCUCGAUGGUGAGGAUCAAAGCUGUACGACUCCGAUGGUGAGAAAAAUCGUUUCUCGAUGGUGAGAAUCAAAUCUGUAGAUAUCAGAAUCUCGAUUUGUUAAGAUGAAGAGAUUUUAAAUCUGAAAAUAUAAUAAAAGAGAACCGACGAACACCAUCGUUUUUCACCUUUGUAACUUUUCAAACAGAUAGCCUGGAUAAUAAGGUCUUUCAGUGGUCUCGUUAGAGCCAUUAUUCACUUGAAAGACAUUGACAGAGACAUCAGGAAGGCGUUGGUAUUUUCCACAUACGUAUUGAUUUUAUGUCUAGAUUAGUCAUCGCUAGAGCCAUUUUCCAGUUGAAAGACAUGGGACAGAGACAUAAGAAAGACAUUCAUAAUGACAUGUAUCCAACUUUUCUGCAAUGAUAUAAUCUCUUCAGGUAUUGACGGGUUGAUCAUCAUUUGAGAAGCAUCAAAAGCAUUAGAGAUUUGCAGUUCUCCUAGUAGAUAAUUAAAAAAAUACACUACAUGUAAAUGAAGCUUUGAUAAAGGAUUAGUACAUUAUCUAAAAAACAUGAAUGGAGUUUCUCGGCUAAGUUGCCCCAUAUGCAGCAUGGUAAACGUGAAUCACUACGAAUAGUUGUCAAGAUAUGGGUGAAUUCAAGCUUUUUUCGUUGCUUUCCCCCGGUACACUGAAUGUUUUCGACAUCACCACAAUCCAUAACUUGAUCCAGCACAUCUGUAAAAAAAAAUGUAAACGUUAGUAUAGAUUGUUACAUAAUAGAUAGUGGCUAAACCGAUUAUAUUUAUAUGUUUACCAAUUAAAAAAUUCUCAUCAAGUGUUCCAGACAAAACAGAUUGAAAGUCGGUCAAAUUCAGAUACAGCUCGUCAUUAACGUGAUUAGAUCGCGUAAUGAAUGUAUUUUGAUUGAAACCAUUUUCGAGGUAUGAUCUGUGGUUCGAUAAGCUCCACCAGCAGGAGUAAUCUGGAAAUUCCGGAUGUAGCGCCAUGCUCAAACCGUAAAAAUCCUUCCCUUACUUUCAAUGUAAGUCCUUUUACAUGUUGCAUGAUUUUUUGCCCCUAAAACAUGUUACAUAUAAAUUUAAAAUAUUAGUAGCCAAUCCCAAAAUGUUAAAUAAAACAUAAUCGACUGAAAAAUACAGUAACGAACGCUUACAGUCUCAUCAGCCAAGACGAAUUCCAUGGUCUCCACGGAUUGAAUGCAUUGUUUCCAAGCGUGUAGAACCUUUACACGAACCAACCAAGUUUUUUUCCAUGGUUUCAAGUCGCCGAAGACGACAGAUUGUUCAUUAGGACCUCUCGAUGCUUGGAUUUGCAUCGAAGGUGCAAUAUUCUUAGUAGCCAUUGGUUUGUUUUUUGGUUUAUUCGAAGGUGUGGCUUUGAAUAGGAACCUGGUGCUGCCUAUUUAUAAUACUGAUCGGAUUCAAAGCGAGGUGUUAGGUUUAGGAGAAACUUGGGAAGAAAGUUGGGGGAUCUCGACUUGGAAAAUCGAAUCUCUCUAUAUUUUAAGAUGAGUUUUUGGAAAAUUCAGUUACCAUGUCAAACAGUCAAUAUUGUUUUCUGCGUGUUCCUCAAGAUGGGGGAUAUUCUCUUUAUUUGAUUUGGUAUCGAAAAUCUUAUAGUACGAAAUGGGCUAUAAAGACGAUAAAAUAAGCCUUAAAACGAAAAUCUAAGUAUAGAAGUGGUGGGCUUUAAAUUUUCGAAAAAGCCUUAAAAACAAUUGAAAAAGGGAAUGAAAUGUUUUGUAAUUAAAUGGAAAAUUCAGGGGCAGAUUCAUAAGAAGUAUUCUGCUUUAAUAGUAUAGAUAUGUUCUUAAACUCAUGUUCAGAGUGCUUUUAUGUAUAUUGUUUUGGAAGCCAUGUUAAAGUGUUCUUAAACUUACGUUCAUAGUCUUCUUAUGUUAUUAAACUAAUGUUCAUAGUCUUCUUAGACUCAACAUUAUGAAACUGUUAUAUUCGGAUCUUAAUUAACCAUAUUCUGAAAGAUUUAUUCAGAAACCUUUUGUGAUUUUGCUCAUGUUCUUAGUCCCCUUCUUUUCUUAAACUCAUGUUUAUAGUGAUCUUAAGCACAUGUUCAUAGUGUUCUUAAAAACAUGUUCAUAAUGUAGUCACGUGGUUCAGGGAGAAUUGAGUUCACUCCCACGGAGGAGGAUGCUCAUGUUAUUGCUGAUUGUCUUAAUGAUCUGUGCAGUCUUUUCUCUCAAUUAUCUCUAAUUGUAACCAUGAAUUUGCAGUAUUUUCUCAGAGAAGUUUCCUUCUUCUCCGGGCCUGCACUUUUGGGUGCGUAUCCUAGAUUUUGGUUCCUAAGGGAACUGGUAUUGCUUGACAAACACUCAAGUUAUGAUCCAUCAACCACUUGGUACUGCCGGAGCCAAAGCAACCAAAAUGAAUAUUGGCAUAAGAGAAUGAUGUCCCACAAAAUUUAACUAAACAAAACCUUCUCUAGAAUCACCGUAAACCUGAAUCACAGGCAUGACUGAAAGAAGGAGCCAUUCUUCUUAUUCUUCCACAUGAUUCUUUUGUUUCAGCCUAAUGAUAUUUUUUACAUAUUGAAGGUGAGACAGCCCAUGAUAACUUCUUGAAUCCAUGGGAGGCGAAAGAGUAUGGUUUAGUCAGCACUGUAAUUGAUGAUGGCAAACCAAGAUUAAUCGCAGAAGGAACAAAUAAAGAUUUGCCAUUAGAGUAAUCGCGGAGACACAUUGGCUACGGCACUUCUGUAUAGUGAAUGUUGUUCUCGCAUUUACUUACUCUUAUUAUUUCCUUAUGUUAUAAUAGCAUGUAUUAGGUGCAAGCCUGCAACUAUAAACAUGGCGUUUCCUGACUUUGCAACAUUUCUCGAAUUAUUUGGUGUAAUUUUAAGUAAACAAAAAAAAAAAAGAUUAGUUGUUGUACGCAGACAAGUGCGCUAUGUUGAUGGCUUCAGAGAUAAAGUUUGUUUGAGACAA